UCAAAGUUUGUUUCAGGUCAAGAUACGGUGGCACAACGCUUUUCGCUACUCGAACUUUGAAGGAAAGUCCUAACGUUACCUUCCUUUGUUUAUUAUAUGUCUAUUGUCCAGCGGUGUGACCGAGGCAUUCUCGUUUCCCCUCUGCUGAAUAAAACUAAGCUUCGACUUUUUUGCGCAAGGUUAGGGGAACGAUGUCUGAUCGAUUCACGGAUGGAGUGCGAAGGUCACAAACGCACCUAGGUAAACUCUCGGGAAACCAGUGACUACAUUACCGCUGAUAUGACCCGCGACAUGCCAAAGUCGGCAGCCAUUGUACAGGUAAACUCCCAGGUAAUCAGUUACUAUAUAAUCCAGGAUGGACCAAAGUCAGCAGCGACUGUUCAGCUUACCUGAGAAUUAAUGCACACAUUAACCAUCAACUCCUCACUUCGACGCUGCCUCGCCUGCCAGUGUAACCCAGUCAACCAGGUACACAAACCUGCCUGUUGAUUUAUUCAGAGCCAAACGAUCAUCAGUCAACUGAAAGAUAUUUAGAAUAACCAACAGGUAAAUCAGUAAUGAAAAUAGUAGUUAUUUGGUGAUCAAAAGAAUUUAUUUAAUUCUCAUCAUUUCAUCACCACAAAUAGAGACAGUUAUUAGUUAGCUGAGUUGUUGUAAAGCACUAUUUUAACCAUCCCUAAUUUCCUAAUAAUUUCCUAAUUUCCUAGAAGAUUUCCAGGCAAAAGUGUGGCACUAAUUACAGGGAAAUGGAGAUGUAGCGCUGUUUUUUUUUUUUUUCAUUUUUAAGUAGUAAAUAGUAGAACAGUAUAUUUACUUUAAAUAUUAAUUUAAAGUAAAUGUAUAGUUACUAUGGACAAAAAGCUUCAAAUUACUUGUAUUUACAUUAAUAUAUUUUGCCAAUGAAGUUUAUUCUAAUUCUAAUUCUGACUAUGCACUUACUAUUAGAAAUUUAAUUUUUCAUAUAAAUGUAAUUGUAUUCUUUCAUAUAGACAAAUUUCAUGUACCUUGCACUGAUUAAAAUACAUUGAAAAUCAGUUGGAAGUACUCAACUGGAACUGUGCCAACUGAACCGAAUUUGUGUGCUAAAUUACACUGUUCUUCACAGGAUACUUAAGAACAAAAAGUUACCAAAUACCGUAGCUUAAGGCAUGUAGGUUUAAAGGGUUAUAUUACAUUCAUGGGUAAGUCACUGGAGGCACCACAAUUAAGGGAUUUGUCUGUCCAUAAAGUGAUCUCUAAUUGAUCAAAUUACAUUAUAAUCAAUGUUAAAUUACAAGUACAUGUUGGCUGUCUGCCACUUACACUGAGGUACAAUGAAUUGUGGGACAUGAUUUUAUUGUAAUCGGCUUUUGCCACCACUAGAUGUCACACAAUGUUUAAAAAAUCCUUAACAUUAUUGCAUAAAAUUGUCAAACUGUGUUUGUUUAUUUUGCAUCUAUUGCAAUAUUUAACUGAAUCAAUGACUAAUCAGAACAUUAAAAAACCUUGAAAUUCUAAUUGCAAAACUACAGCUGGAGUUUCCAUACCAGUUAAUGGUUCAAGUAAUGCCAGUCUUACUCAUCAUAUAAUGUAAUAUGGGAUAUCUUAAAUUGGAGCCAACAUAAUUCUGACCAGUCAUGAAUAAAUUACAGAUUCCUGUAAUGUGAAUACUACCUGAUCAAUAAAUGUUCCCAAACACAUCAGUCUUGACAGAUUAGACAAGGAAACAAAAUCUCAUAAAAGAAGAACAGAAACAAUACUCUUUUUACUAAAAACUUUUUUCUACCACAUCAGCUGCCUGCAGACUGUACAGUGCGAUUCAAAUGUCAUGGUCUGAUGAAGAUACAAGGACAACAUUAUCUAGAAAGAGCUGUGAUAUUGUUUGAGUGUCACCAAAUUAGACACUUCAGACCUUGAAUGCAACAUGAUAUCUUGUCCAUGAAUGUCACAAACAGAUGAGCUGAAACAGCACACCCUGAUGACUGUAUAAACCUGAUGAAACAGUAAUGGCAAAACAUAUAGCAAUGCUAAAUGAAGAUUUAAAUAGUACAUUUUUUUUAUCUUUCUCACACAUAUACAUAUACUAUGUAGUAAAGGUAUGACAUAAAAGUAAAAAAAAAAAAAAAGAAGAAUAAUUAAAUAUAGAUUGCUGUAUCAACCAGAUUUGCAGGCAACUGGCAAAGCAGGGAAAAUCAUCAAAUGAAGGACAUUUUAAAAAAUCCCCUUUAACUCCAUCUGAUUACACAACAUAUUUUAUUUUACUGUAGAAGGAAAUGUUAACUAUAUCCUGCAGUGGAUGUAUCAUGCAUUUGAAAGGAUUACAUAAAAAAUAAUCUUCUGUAACUGCAGGAGAAAAAAGUCAUGAUCAUUUCAUUAAUGCAGUGCAAAACAGUUAAAGAAAAGUGAGCUAUAUGAUAACACAUAUGAAUUUGUGCUGUAUUUAUGAUCCACAGGGAACUUGUGCAUUUGAGGGAAAUAUCAACAAAUUCUCCUGUAUAUUUCUCAUGAAAAAUGGGCAUUCAAUCAGGACUCCACAGCAUUUACUCUGACCUGUUCUGACACAGUGAUGUGCAUAUCACAUACCUGUAGGUUAAGUGGCGUGUCACAAGCUAUCUGUGACAAAGUCUGUUCAGAGCUUGUCAGGGUUCAUAUCGUCUUCAUCUUGUCUCUCAAAGACAAGUCACUUAACUCAGUGCACCAUCAUUGCUGCAGAUUUUUGGAAAUGUAAACAGUAUGUUUUGCCUUAAAAGGCAAAUGGUGACAUGCCACUCUCUACAUUAUUCAAACAUAUUCCCAAUUAUCCCUGAGCUUCCCAGUUUAAUCUGUCUUUCAUGGUGCAGUCUGUCAAAUGAUUUCCUGAUUAUUUUAGCUUUUGUCAAAAUCUGUAUGUAUGUUUUAGCAGUUGUAACUUUAUACCAGUAAUGAAUGAUAAAAAAAGACAAAAAAAAACAAAAAACA